rnacentral:rRNA from 1 species
UGCUUAACACAUGCAAGUCGAGUGCGCGGCAGGAGCAAUACAACUGGCGCACGGCGCACGGGUGCGUAACACGUGGGCAAUCUGCCCUUCGAUGGGGAAUAACUCCGGGAAACCGAAGCUAAUUCCGCAUAACAUUCCUUGGACUCCGGUUCGAGGAUUCAAAGCCGUAAGGCGUCGAAGGAGGAGCCCGCGCACGAUUAGCUAGUUGGUAGGGUAACGGCCUACCAAGGCUUUGAUCGUUAGCUGGUCUGAGAGGAUGGCCAGCCACACUGGAACUGAGACACGGUCCAGACUCCUACGGGAGGCAGCAGUGGGGAAUCUUGCACAAUGGGCGAAAGCCUGAUGCAGCGACGCCGCGUGGGGGAUGAAGCAUCUCGGUGUGUAAACCCCUUUCGACUGGGACGAAUGCCUCGCAAGAGGAGUGACGGUACCAGUAGAAGAAGCCCCGGCUAACUACGUGCCAGCAGCCGCGGUAAGACGUAGGGGGCCAGCGUUGUUCGGAAUUAUUGGGCGUAAAGGGUGCGUAGGCGGUGCGACAAGUCACCUGUGAAAUCUCCGGGCUUAACUCGGAGCCUGCAGGCGAAACUGUCGUGCUGGAGUAUGGGAGAGGUGCGUGGAAUUCCCGGUGUAGCGGUGAAAUGCGUAGAUAUCGGGAGGAACACCUGUGGCGAAAGCGGCGCACUGGACCAUAACUGACGCUGAUGCACGAAAAGCUAGGGGAGCAAACAGGAUUAGAUACCCUGGUAGUCCUAGCCCUAAACGAUGAUUGCUUGGUGUAGCAGGUACCCAAUCCUGCUGUGCCGAAGCUAACGCGAUAAGCAAUUCCGCCUGGGGAGUACGGUCGCAAGGCUGAAACUCAAGGAAUUGACGGGGGCCCGCACAAGCGGUGGAGCUUGUGGCUCAAUUCGACGCAACGCGAAGAACCUUACCUGGGCUCGAGCGCAGUGGUACCCGGGGUAGAAAAUUCCCUUUCCCCUUAAAAGGCUGCUGCGGAGAUGCUGCAUGGCUGGUCGACAGCUUCGGCCGGGAGAAUGGUGGGUAUAGUCCGCGCAACGAGCGCAAACCUUUUAUUCCUAGUUUGCCAUCUGGGUCCAAGCCGGACAUCUAUAUUGAAACCGUGCCUCGUGAUUAUACUCAGGAGAGAAAGGUGGGGGAUAGGACAG